CUACGGGGGGCAGCCGUGAGGAAUAUUGCACAAUGGGGGGAACCCUGAUGCAGCAACGCCGCGUGGAGGAUGACGCAUUUCGGUGUGUAAACUCCUUUUAUAUGUCAAGAAAAUGACGGUAGCAUAUGAAUAAGCACCGGCUAACUCCGUGCCAGCAGGCCGCGGUAAUACGGAGGGUGCAAGCGUUACUCGGAAUCACUGGGCGUAAAGGACGCGUAGGCGGGUUGGAAAGUCAGGUGUGAAAUCCUACAGCUUAACUGUAGAACUGCACUUGAAACUUCUAAUCUAGAGUAUGGGAGGGGGAGAUGGAAUUAGUGGUGUAGGGGUAAAAUCCGUAGAUAUCACUAGGAAUACCUAAAGCGAAGGCGAUCUCCUGGAACAUUACUGACGCUAAGGCGUGAAAGCGUGGGGAGCAAACAGGAUUAGAUACCCGGGUAGUC
rnacentral:rRNA from 1 species